AGUGAACGCUGGCGGUAGGCCUAACACAUGCAAGUCGAACGGCAGCACAGUAAGAGCUUGCUCUUACGGGUGGCGAGUGGCGGACGGGUGAGGAAUACAUCGGAAUCUACUUUUUCGUGGGGGAUAACGUAGGGAAACUUACGCUAAUACCGCAUACGACCUACGGGUGAAAGCAGGGGAUCUUCGGACCUUGCGCGAUUGAAUGAGCCGAUGUCGGAUUAGCUAGUUGGCGGGGUAAAGGCCCACCAAGGCGACGAUCCGUAGCUGGUCUGAGAGGAUGAUCAGCCACACUGGAACUGAGACACGGUCCAGACUCCUACGGGAGGCAGCAGUGGGGAAUAUUGGACAAUGGGCGCAAGCCUGAUCCAGCCAUACCGCGUGGGUGAAGAAGGCCUUCGGGUUGUAAAGCCCUUUUGUUGGGAAAGAAAAGCAGCAGGUUAAUACCCCGCUGUUCUGACGGUUCCCAAAGAAUAAGCACCGGCUAACUUCGU
rnacentral:rRNA from 1 species